CACAGGUCAAAAGAUGUGUAUUCAGAAUCAGCCAAAAAUACUUUUUCUAAACCUCAUAUGCCAUCACCAAAGAGUCAACGAAAAUCCUGCUCUAUUGAAGAUUAUGAAGAUUAUUACACCAAUAUUGAAGACCUCAACACGUAUGGCAACAUCUGAUGAAAACGCAUGAUAUUUCUUAAAUGUGCUUAAUACAGGACAAGUUAAAAAACAAAAAUCUAUUUUAGUAUAUAACACAAAAACUGUUUUGAAGGGUGUGACUCUUUUCUAUAUCUACUGUAUAUUUAAUUUCAUCAGCAUUUUUAAGUUUCAUUUUAUUUGUGGCACAUUAAAAAUAUUAAAUACAACUAUUUUUUUAUUUACAGUAUAUCAUUAUCAAAGUUGCCACAGAGAGGGCUUGUUUUACAUGUGCUUUUGUAGAUAUGCAGUUACAUUUACAUUUAGUCAUUAAGCAGAUGCUUUUAUCCAAAGCAACUUACAGGUGUUGAGCAUGGGCUGUGGUUUCUCUGGCUGACACACAAACAUUUUUAGGAAAUGAUUUUGUGAUAGAAAAAAAUGAUUUUAAAUAAAUG